rfam:Tupaia chinensis contig213004, whole genome shotgun sequence.
GUGCUCGCUUCAGCAGCACAUAUACUAAAAUUGGACCGAUACAGAGAAAAUUAGCAUGGCCCCUGCACAAGGAUUGCACGCAAAUUCAUGAAGCGUUCUAUAUUUUU